rnacentral:lncRNA from 1 species
UUUACCUGUUGUAUCCAAACUAUAGUCAAUGAAAUACUUUACUCUCUUUUUGCAUAUUUCAAAAUCAGUGUGUAUACAUCAUGUCUAAAGUCAGAUGACAUUUUUCUUUUGUGUAUGCACAAAAGAAUGUAUGCAGGGCUGCACACCCAAGGCAAGGGUCCACCACUGAGCUACAAAGUGACACAUUUUUAUCAGAACCGCUUGAUCUGCAUUUAACAUUCAGGAGCUUUGCACUUGCAGAGCUUUGCACUUUGCA